UUAGUAGUAUCCUCCGCGAGGAAGCUGUUCUGCCUGGACGCUUUCCGGUAGUAAACGAGGAUUUAUCAGAGCAGCUUAGAUCCACAACCUGGGGUUAUUUUAUCGUGGUUCAUGUCGAAGAGACUUCUGUUCGUUUUAUGGUCGGUGCGCGGGCGCCUUAAGCUUUCGUAUGCUGUGUUGAUAGUGGAGUAUCGAGAUUGCAGGUUACAAUUUCGUAGUUCGGACGUGACAGAUCUAUCUACCGGAUGAAAAAUGGCCGAAUGUUUGUACUUCGUGUGCUGCAGUAAGUGAGGACGAUAUAUAUUAUACUACGCUGACAGAUGAGGAAUGUCGACCAUUGAAGGCAAUUCGGAGGCAAUGUGUUUUCAUGAAAAAUUAAACGGCAGGGCCAUGUGCCUGCAGGUUAAAUGAAGUUGAAAAUGAGAGACAAAGUUUUUUGUUUUCAUAUACAACCUGUCACAGCAAUAAACACGGAUUUAUCAAUGUGGGUCACUGCUCACAGGAUCUUUUUUAUGGUCUGCAGCAUCUCAGAUUCACAGUCACUGUGCCAGCACCAUUUUUUAUAUACGUUUCACAGUCGAUAAUCAUUCGGAGCAUCACGUAACGAUAACGAUAAUCUUCGAAUAAAUAUUAUCAAGGAAUAUAGUUUCGUUCUUCUAGCUCCAAGAAUUUUCUUAUUAACAAUAAAAAUUGUACCUGUGUGAAAUUGUUCGCCAUGGAAAUAUCCGCAUGCUUCAUGGUUCCGUAAGUUUUACACGAUGAAAUUCUCGCGCAGGGAUAUUUUCUUGUUCACCUAUGCACGAAGUGCAGUGAGAUGGAGAUGGAAAAACGUUUGCGUAGAUAGAGAUAUAUAAAACUUGGAGUAAACGUGCAAUUUUCAAAAUCUCUAAAGAACCAUCCUGUCUCAAGGUACACAGUAAGAUUGACCAGUCUAUUAUCAGUAAUGAAGAAGAGCUCCAGUUCUAAGACGGUGAAGAGUAUAUCUAAAGGGUACAAGAUGGAGCAGUUAAUUUAAGAAGGAGCGUAAGAAAUGCAGUAAAACCCAAGGAAAGAAAAUCUCGGAAAUGGACAUGGAAUCCUGGCGUAUAAGGAUGCUAGAACGUAGGUUGGUCCAGGAGGAGGAAGCUGCUUGCUAACCAGCCAACCUAGCUAGUUCCUAGCCUGAGCAGGCCAAUCCAGCUUAGCCGGUCAGCUAGGUGGAAGGAAGGCAAGAAGCUAUGAACGAAGGAAGAAGGAAGCUGGUCUCGAGGUAUUGCUUCAUUAAUCAUUCUCACCUUUUAGCUGCUGCUGCUUCUUCUUCUGGUGGAAAAAGAGCUUUUACUAACGUUCCGCCUUUUUACGAUUAAAGGCGCUUUAAAGAGUCUUUAACCGGAGUGCAGAUCAAAGAUCGUCGCCAUUGACACGAAGGCAGAAGGACGUGAAGUAAAUGAUUCAUGGGUUAUAGAGGACGUCGUGGAUGAUUCUUUAGCAGAUAUUUUUCAAGUAUCGGAAACAUGUCGAGAAAUACUAUCGUGGCAGUCUUUCAUUGGUUAAUUCCGAAAUUGAGGGUCACCCUGUAUAGUCUGCCGAUUACGUUAUGGCACAGUCGCGACUUCCUAACUGUGGGUAGAAAAAAAAAAAGUUGGCAGCCCGCGAAAUUGCUUUGGCUUAGUUCUGUCGUACCGUUAAGGCUAAUUUCCUUUAUUUAUCUGGAUACGGGCCGAAUCGAGAUUUUCCAUUAGCAGUGUCCUGCGGAAUUCAGAUGCUCUAGAAACGAGCUUUUAAAACUAUUAGAGGACUUAAUAAAUCAGACAAGCCACGUACAAGCAGCGCUGAGAAGGUGCACAAAGAAGCGCACACGGUACUUGUCGUGAGAAUUUUAGAAAGAGAUAAAAAAGUGAAAAUGGACAAUGCAACUGCUACAGAGAAGGAAAUUCUAGAGAAAAUUGUCGUUACUGUCAUUACUGUCUCAGACACUAUUUUCUUCAAGAAUAAGUGCUGCAACACGUUCCUGAUGUAUACCAUCAGUAGGAACAAUUUCUCAGAGACCAAGACUCAAAGAAUGAGAUGUAUUUUGGUUUCGUUGCUUGAUAAAAGUGGACCAGCUUGAGUGGCACUCCAUGCCGUAAGAAAUUGGGCAACCCUCCGGGUAAUUAAUUAAACAAAUUGCCCGUAGCUAAGCAUUACGUGGUAGAUUCGUUAUAACUGGUGAAAAUUGAAAAUUUCUUCUCAAGACGGAUGAAAAUUUGAAUCUCCUUUUUAGAUACCGUGCUAAUUAUUCUUUCUAAGCGCAUUACCAUCUCCCAAAUUCAAAAGAAGACAAACACUUGGAUCCCUGUGCAUGGUAUAAUUACUGUGCGCUGGCAUUGACAGAUUUACGAGUCUAAAUCGUUAAGGGCGGGUAAAUGGAUGGGAAAAUAGCGAAGGGUAAAAUUGUCACUCUUUUUUUUUCUUCCACUCGCCUUUAAAAAGUCUUCGUUAAGGUAUACCCAGAGACCAAUAACGACCUAAAGCCUAUUCUAAUUGCCGUGAUUCCGCCUGACGAAUUCUCAACACGCCUUUUAGUUACAGUCACGUAUUUUAUUUUUAAACCAAUAAAAGUCCGGACCAUUUUCCAUUUUAAGUGGAAAAGCGAAAAUUUGUCAAUUGGAGAAAAUUGGAAAAAUUUUAAAUAAAAAAAAACUGCUACAAAAGCAACACUCGCAGUACCAUGGCAAAACCAUUAUACGGAAAUCGCAGUAAGAGUCUUCUACCUGGCACAACCGUACUCGUCGAACCCUGCGAGUUCACGUUUCUUGGGAAUUUUUCGAUCUUCCCCAGGCUAACGAUAAGGGCAGCGUCGGCGUCGGCGUCGGCGUCGGUAGCGCGGGCACAGCGGGUGUCGGCCGAGCGCCGACGAGUAAAUUGAAGCGAUCCAUUAUAUGCCGGUGUCGGGUUAUCUGGGGGUGAGUUGAAGAUGAAAAUGGGUGUCAGUUCGGUCCAACCCCUCCUACCUCGACCUUUCACCCCCCGCCGUCUUACCUGUCUCCUGUCGGUAUAAUAUGCUAACGCAUUUUCCCACGGUACUUUUUCCAGGAUAAUAAUUCUUCGCUACAGAAAUGCACAUACUCCAUUUCGUAGUCUUAUAUUCAAAAAAAAAA